rnacentral:lncRNA from 10 species
CAUGGUGGUGGGAGCCUGUAAUCCCACUUACGAGGCUGAGGCAGGAGAAUUGCUUGAACCCAGGAGGCGGAGGUUGCAGUGAGCUGAGAUCACGCCACUGCACUCCAGCCUGAGUGACAGAGCGAGACUCUGUCUCAAAUAAUAAUAAUAAUAAUAAAUAAUUGCAUCUAAGUUGUGCACAAUGGCUCAUGCAUGUAAUCUCAGCACUUUGGGAGUCUGAGGUGGGCAGAUCGCUUGAGCCUAGGAGUUUGAGAUCAGCCUGGGCACCAUGGCAAGACUCCAUCUCCACAAAAAAUUAGCUGGGCAUGGUGGUAUGCACCUGUAGUCCC